rnacentral:rRNA from 1 species
UACAGAGGUCUCAAGCGUUGUUCGGAUUCAUUGGGCGUAAAGGGUGCGUAGGCGGUGGAGUAAGUUGGAUGUGAAAUCCCAGGGCUUAACCCUGGAACUGCAUUCAAUACUGCUUUACUAGAGUACUGGAGAGGAGAUUGGAAUUCACGGUGUAGCAGUGAAAUGCGUAGAUAUCGUGAGGAAGACCAGUGGCGAAGGCGAAUCUCUGGACAGUAACUGACGCUGAGGCACGAAGGCUAGGGGAGCAAACGGG